rnacentral:ncRNA from 1 species
UGGCGGUAAUGUGAGCAAGAGAUGACGGCCAAAUAGCUUGGUUUCUCGGUAAAUUAACGUGGGGUACCCGUAUAGAGGUCCGCGCGUGCGCGCAUAAAUAAAGGUGAACGUGCAUGAAUGCGCAUGAAUGGAUUAACGAGAUUCCUGAUGUCCCUAUCUACUAUCUAGCGAAACCACAGACAAGGAUAGGACUUGGCAGAAUUAGAUUGAUUUUGAUCUUCAGUAUGUAUAUAGACCGCGAAAGCGUGGCCUAUCGAUCCUUUUUUGAACUCGCGAGUUUCACGGAAGUGGUGCCAGAAAAUUUACCACAGGGAUAACUGGCUUGUGGCAGCAAAGCGUUCAUAGCGACGUUGCCUUUUGAUCCUUGGACGGAGUAAACGAUUCAGACAUUUGGUUAAUGUGAUGGGCUGCUAAUGGUGCGAAGCUUCGUACUAUCCGAGGGAUUUUGACUGAACGCCUCUAAGUCAGAAUUCCGCCUGUAAUCCUUCGUAUGUGAU